AUUCCAGCUCCAAUAGCGUAUAUUAAAGUUGUUGCGGUUAAAAAGCCCGUAGUUGGAUCUCGGUUUCACUCAGGUGGUACACCUUGCGGUGUUCACUAUCUGGGUGGACGUUUCUGUUGGUUCGCUCUUGGUGCUCUUCAUCGGGUGCCAUUUGGUGGCCAGCACGUUUACUUUGAAAAAAUUGGAGUGCUCAAGCAGGCGUUACAGCCUGAACAUUAGUGCAUGGAAUAAUGGAAUAGGAUCUCGAUUCUAUUUCGUUGGCUUUCGGAGUCGAGGUAAUGAUUAAUAGGGACAGACGGGGGCAUUCGUACUGCGACGUUAGAGGUGAAAUUCUUGGAUCGUCGCAAGACGAACUACUGCGAAAGCAUUUGCCAAGAAUGUUUUCAUUAAUCAAGAACGAAAGUUAGAGGUUCGAAGGCGAUCAGAUACCGCCCUAGUUCUAACCAUAAACGAUGCCAACCGGCGAUCCGUCGUCGUUAAUUGAAUGACUCGACGGGCAGCCUCCGGGAAACCAGAGUGUUUGGGUUCCGGGGGAAGUAUGGUUGCAAAGCUGAAACUUAAAGGAAUUGACGGAAGGGCACCACCAGGAGUGGAGCCUGCGGCUUAAUUUGACUCAACACGGGAAAUCUCACCAGGCCCGGACACCGGAAGGAUUGACAGAUUGAGAGCUCUUUCUUGGUUCGGUGGGUGGUGGUGCAUGGCCGUUCUUAGUUGGUGGAGCGAUUUGUCUGGUUAAUUCCGAUAACGAACGAGACUCUGGCCUACUAACUAGAAGGUCUAUCCUUUAUGGGUAGGCCUCUGCUUCUUAGAGGGACGGGCGGCGUUUAGCCGCACGAGAAUGAGCAAUAACAGGUCUGUGAUGCCCUUAGAUGUUCUGGGCUGCACGCGCGCUACACUGAAGGAAUCAGCAUGUUCUCCCCUCCCUGAAAAGGGCGGGUAACCCGUUGAAACUCCUUCGUGAUGGGGAUUGGAGAUUGUAAUUAUUCUCCAUGAACGAGGAAUUCCCAGUAGGCGCGAGUCAUCAGCUUGCGUCGAUUACGUCCCUGCCCUCUGUACACACCGCCCGUCGCUACUACCGAUCGAGUGAUUUAGUGAGGACUUCGGACUGGUCUUCAAGUUGGCUUCGGUCGGCUCGAAGUUCCGGAAAGAUGCCCAAACUUGAUCACUUAGA
rnacentral:rRNA from 1 species